rnacentral:rRNA from 1 species
CCUACGGGUGGCAGCAGUGAGGAAUAUUGGUCAAUGGACGCGAGCCUGAACCAGCCAUGUCGCGUGAAGGAAGACGGCUCUAUGAGUUGUAAACUUCUUUUAUACGAGGAUAAACGCAGGUACGCGUACCUUUUUGAAUGUACUUUAUGAAUAAGGAUCGGCUAACUCCGUGCCAGCAGCCGCGGUAAUACGGAGGAUUCGAGCGUUAUCCGGAUUUAUUGGGUUUAAAGGGUGCGUAGACGGGUUGUUAAGUUAGGUGUGAAAUUUUGCGGCUCAACCUCAGAAUUGCCUUUGAUACUGGCAGCCUUGAGUGCAGUUGCGGUAGGCGGAAUGUGUGGUGUAGCGGUGAAAUGCUUAGAGAUCACAAAGAACACCGAUUGCGAAGGCAGCUUACCAAGCUACCACUGACAUUGAGGCACGAAAGUGUGGGUAUCAAACAGGAUUAGAUACCCUAGUAGUC